AGCGAACGCUGGCGGCAGGCCUAACACAUGCAAGUCGAACGAACUCUUCGGAGUUAGUGGCGGACGGGUGAGUAACACGUGGGAACGUGCCUUUAGGUUCGGAAUAACUCAGGGAAACUUGUGCUAAUACCGAAUGUGCCCUUCGGGGGAAAGAUUUAUCGCCUUUAGAGCGGCCCGCGUCUGAUUAGCUAGUUGGUGAGGUAAAGGCUCACCAAGGCGACGAUCAGUAGCUGGUCUGAGAGGAUGAUCAGCCACAUUGGGACUGAGACACGGCCCAAACUCCUACGGGAGGCAGCAGUGGGGAAUCUUGCGCAAUGGGCGAAAGCCUGACGCAGCCAUGCCGCGUGAAUGAUGAAGGUCUUAGGAUUGUAAAAUUCUUUCACCGGGGACGAUAAUGAGGUACCCGGAGAAGAAGCCCCGGCUAACUUCGUG
rnacentral:rRNA from 1 species